GAUGAACGCUGGCGGCGUGCCUAAUACAUGCAAGUCGAGCGAAUGGAUUGAGAGCUUGCUCUUAUGAAGUUAGCGGCGGACGGGUGAGUAACACGUGGGUAACCUGCCCAUAAGACUGGGAUAACUCCGGGAAACCGGGGCUAAUCCCGGAUAACAUUUUGAACCGCCUGGUUCGAAAUUGAAAGGCGGCUUCGGCUGUAACUUAUGGAUGGACCCGCGUCGCAUUAGCUAGUGGGUGAGGUAACGGCUCACCAAGGCAACGAUGCGUAGCCGACCUGAGAGGGUGAUCGGCCACACUGGGACUGAGACACGGCCCAGACUCCUACGGGAGGCAGCAGUUGGGAAUCUUCCGCAAUGGACGAAAGUCUGACGGAGCAACGCCGCGUGAGUGAUGAAGGCUUUCGGGUCGUAAAACUCUGUUGUUAGGGAAGAACAAGUGCUAGUUGAAUAAGCUGGCACCUUGACGGUACCUAACCAGAAAGCCACGGCUAACUACGUGCCAGCCGCCGCAGUAA
rnacentral:rRNA from 1 species